GUGCACCGGUCUCGACCGAACUCGACCGACGUCGACCGAUAUCGACUCAAAUUGACGUGAGUCGUGAUUCGUGUAUCGUGAUGUCACGUUGUCUAUGGUCAGUACACGGUUCCAUCUGAAAUCACAGAUUAUAAAACAAAACUAAAUAUAAUCUGUGCUAAGACCAUGAGUGAUGCCGGCGAUGGGUCUGUCCAAUUACCGAUCGACACACCACAGCCUCAAUCUGUACUCAUCAAUCACCACUGUAUGAAUGUGAUUGGGAAAAAUUCCCCUAAAAAUAAGGUACUUUCGUCAUAUUCAGACAGUUGGGCAAACAUUUCUACCCAUACCUCUACAAUAUCAGAUCUGAGUGGUCUGACACUAGGGACUUGCUCUCUGGCCCUAAUAUAAUCUAUAGGACCUUUGAAAUCUCCUUGGACGUACUCCACCAAUACCAUGUAUUCUUUGUUGACCUUGUUCAUCUUGAAGACAAGAAUACGAGCUCUACCUCGACUUUAAUCUUUUGGAAUAAUUUGAUGAUCCAUUAGUUAGCUGGAGGUGAAAAAACCAUAAGAACUAAAUUUGAAAUCUGAAGAUCAUUUGUAAUACAUCAAUGUUAAGAUUUUAAAUACAAAACAAUUUUAAAUUAAAUGUAACUAAUAUCUAAGCCACUGCAAUUCGUAUUUUAGGGGGCCUAUUACAGUUCACAUAAUAUAUUAACGAGUGAAUAUCUUGUGUUAUCUUGUGGUUUGUCGGCAAUAUAAAUGUUGGGUGCCUGGAAUAUACUGAAAUGCAACCAAACAUACAACUAAAUACAAGGUUUCUUAUUACUAGUCUUUCAAAAAUCAGUCAUCCAGCAGCUUUGGUCACCCAACUUCAAACCAUGUAAAAACUAUAGUUUUAAGAUAUUUCGAUGACAGACAAAGUUUGGGGUUUUGCCAUUAAAGCUUAAGUCACCACAAAAAAAUUGGAUAUUUGUGACUAUGGUUACUGAUUCAUAACAAUAAUCAUCAUAACAAUUACAUCAUCGUGUAAAAUGAAACACUCUUAGGAUUUCACAAUAGGCACUUGUAAAAAAAUUGAUUAAAUGUUAAUACUUGAAGAACAAGAAAGUUUGUUUGCUAGCUUUAAGCAAAAAUCAAAGUUUGAGAAAACCAGAAAUUGUAUGCACUAAACUAAAUGUAGUUUUGGAAGAGUAAAAAAUGUAAUUUUAAAGCAAGGUAUGAAAGAAAUGUAAAACUUUUCUUAUGAUUUAAAAUAUUUAAAUUAAUACUUAUGCCUACCUAAGAUCAUAGAUUUAGAAUCAACUGAUGUUACAUUUUUUUGUAUUAAGGAUAAUUUAUAUAUUAAUAUAUACCUACAUUAAAAGUAAUUAAGU